rnacentral:tRNA from 1 species
GCCGGUGUAGCUCAAUUGGUAGAGCAACUGACUUGUAAUCAGUAGGUUGAGGGUUCAAUUCCUUUCGCCGGCA